UCAUGGAGAGGGCUAUUAUGGAUAUAGAAAACCCAAUUUGAAUUGGAUUUGUUUGUUUCUUUACAAACACGCAGCUUUUCACUUCACUAGAUGUUAACUGAUGGACGUGAGUCAUGUGGAUUACUAAAGCUCAGAUAAGUGUUUGGCUCCUGCAUGAAGAGCUGAACUGUUGACCGGCAAUAGGACACAUGGGAAGAAUAAUCAUGGAGAGCAGAGGAGCAUCAUCAUCCUCAGUAGAGAGCCAAAAUUGAUUUUGCCACUCUACAGCUGUCCUCUGCAUACAGCAAUCAGUUUGACUGCAGAGUGCCUCUUCAAGAAGAACCAGACGACCCCGGUUUGACCCAUCGCUAUGAUUGGAUCCUUCGCAUGAAGCAGCUUCCAUCAGGCUCACCGGCUGCACGGUGUGGAUCCGGUUUACGACCCGAUUACGAAACGCA